UGUGUCCUCCGACCUCCCUCUCUCUCUCUGACCAGCCCUCUCUUCUGUCCUCUCUCCACUCUCACCCCUCAAACAGAAUUUUUUGUGUGUUACAGAAGCCAAUAAAACAAUGUCGUCGACGGAAAAAAAAUUCCCGCCGAUAACAAAGUGCGGCGAGACGACGACGACUUCGUACGGUUCUAUCGCAGCAGAUCUGGACAGAACACCUUUGAUCUCCAGAAGCUCCGUCCCUUACUUCAUGCUCGUCGCCAUGAGUGGACCACAAGUACCAUUGAACUUUGCUAAGGAACAUCUUAAGAAUGAGGGUUCUGUCAUUCUUUUGAUUCCGGACAGAGGAUUUUGGUCUGCUAAAUUUGAAAUAAAGCACAAAAGCUAUAGCAAAAGGAGAGCUGAAUUUAGUUGUGGUUGGAAAGUCUUUGCCAAGGACAAUUAUUUGAAAGUUGGUGAUGUCUGCAUUUUCGAGCUUCUUAAGAGAUCCGAAAAUGUAUUCAAGGUUUCCAUUGACUAUGCUGCUGAAUAUGCAUCCGACUAAAAUCUCAAGCUGAUGGAAUCAAAGCAAAGCCAAAAGGAGAAGUGGGAGAAGUUACUGAGUUGUUUUUUGAAUUAUGUCUGCAUAAUGGAGAACUUGCUAUGCUUUAAAACUCAAAACUAAAUAUGGUGAAUGAAUCUAUGAGUUACUGGAGGCGGUGGAUACACAAAAGAGAACGUUGCUCGAUGUUGGACUGUUGAAACUGGAGUUCUUCUAGACAGAGAGCUUCCAAAUGGUAUGUCAAGUCUUCUUCACUUUUAACUUUUAUUUCUUGGUUCAAAAUGUGGUCAACCUCAAUGAUGGAAUGUUAAAUGAGAUUGAGUAAGAUAAUUGUUAUUUGUAUAUGAAUUAUUUAAAUUAUUAUGUAUGGAGGUUGUAUAGGAUGGAUAUUAGGUAGUGUAGUAUGAUGAUGUUGAUAAGUUGGAUGAUUGGUGGGACAAGGAAGAGUUAUGUUUUAAUUUUUAUGUGUGUAGGAAAAGAGGAGACAAGAUAGUAAGUUAGUAGUAAAAGACUUGAUUUGGCUACUCAAGCUUGGUUACAAUUUGGAAGCUUGAUGGGGUAUUUAUAGUUGCUUACCCCUACAUUUAAUUUUAUCUAGAUUAUUCUAGUUCUAUAUGAUUUACAACUUUUCUAGACUUUUCUAAUUGAUUUACAUUCUUCUUGAUUGGUUACUUCUAGUUUUCUAAAUAUUCUAGGCUUUUCUAGUUUAUUUAUUUUACUAGAUUUCUAAAGUUUUCACUAGAAUAUUCUAAGAUACAAAUAUUCUAGGAAUGUGUAGCACAUUUUAACACCCAAUUUAGUUGUGGUAGGAAAAAAAUGUUGGGUUCUGUUCUAUUCAAAUUCUAUAAGAUUUUCUUUAUAAUUUUUCUUU